rnacentral:rRNA from 1 species
GACGAACGCUGGCGGCGUGCUUAACACAUGCAAGUCGAACGGAAAGGCCCUGCUUUUGUGGGGUGCUCGAGUGGCGAACGGGUGAGUAACACGUGUGUAACCUGCCCUUGACUUUGGGAUAACUUCAGGAAACUGGGGCUAAUACCGGAUAGGAGCGCCUGCUGCAUGGGGGGGGUUGGAAGGUUUCGGCGGUUGGGGAUGGAGUCGGGGCUUAUCAGCUUGUUGGUGGGGUAGUGGCUUACCAAGGCUUUGACGGGUAGCCGGCCUGAAAGGGUGACCGGCCACAUUGGCACUGAUAUACGGCCCGGACUCCUAGGGGAGGCAGCAGUGGGGAGCAUUGCACAAUGGGCGGAAGCCUGAUGCAGCAACGCCGCGUGCGGGAUGACGGCCUUCGGGUUGUAAACCGCUUUCGCCUGUGACGAAGCGUGAGUGACGGUAAUGGGUAAAGAAGCACCGGCUAACUACGUG